ACUGUCAGCUCUAGCUAAAUUUACACAUGCAAGUAUCCGCGCCCCUGUGAGGAUGCCCUACAACUUCCCCUUAGAAACAAGGAGCUGGUAUCAGGCACAGAUAUGCUAGCCCACAACACCUUGCUCAGCCACACCCCCAAGGGAAUUCAGCAGUGAUAGACAUUAAGCUAUAAGUGAAAACUUGACUUAGUUAAUGCUAAGAGGGCCGGUAAAACUCGUGCCAGCCACCGCGGUUAUACGAGAGACCCAAGUUGACAGGCACGGCGUAAAGAGUGGUUAGGCAACCCCCCCCCACUAAAGUCGAACGCCCUCAGGGCUGUUAUACGCUCUACGAAGGUAAGAAGCCCCCCCACGAAAGUGACUUUAUUCUACCUGACUCCACGAAAGCUGUGAUACAAACUGGGAUUAGAUACCCCACUAUGCUCAGCCCUAAACUUUGAUAGGCCACUACAACCCCUAUCCGCCAGGUUAUUACGAGCACCAGCUUAAAACCCAAAGGACUUGGCGGUGCUUUAGACCCACCUAGAGGAGCCUGUCCUAGAACCGAUAAUCCCCGUUAAACCUCACCCUCCCUUGCUUUCCCAGCCUAUAUACCGCCGUCGUCAGCCGACCCUGUGAAGGACGCAUAGUUUGCAAAAUUGGCACAGCCCAAAACGCCAGGUCGAGGUGUAGCGAAUGAGAGGGGAAGAGAUGGGCUACAUUUCCUGAACCCAGGACAUACGGACGUAUUACUGAAAACCAUAUCUGAAGGAGGAUUUAGCAGUAAGUAGAAAUCAGAGUGUUCUACUGAAAUUGGCCCUGAAGCGCGCACACACCGCCCGUCACUCUCCCCGAAUUGACAUCAAACAGUAUUUUAAAACCCAAUACAAAUUAGAGGGGAGGCAAGUCGUAACAUGGUAAGUGUACCGGAAGGUGUACUUG
rnacentral:ncRNA from 1 species